UGGGGGAUAUUGCACAAUGGGCGAAAGCCUGAUGCAGCGACGCCGCGUGGGGGAUGAAGGCCUUCGGGUUGUAAACUUCUUUUGCUCUGAACAAGGCAUGCUAAUGGGUGUGUUGAGUGUAGGGGUUGAUUAGCGCCGGCUAACUACGUGCCAGCAGCCGCGGUAAUACGUAGGGCGCGAGCGUUGUCCGGAAUUAUUGGGCGUAAAGGGCUUGUAGGUGGCUGGUUGCGUCUGUCGUGAAAGCUCAUGGCUUAACUGUGGGUUUGCGGUGGGUACGGGCUGGCUUGAGUGCAGUAGGGGAGGCUGGAAUUCCUGGUGUAGCGGUGGAAUGCGCAGAUAUCAGGAGGAAUACCGGUGGCGAAGGCGGGUCUCUGGGCUGUUAAUGACACUGAGGAGCGAAAGAAUGGGGAGCGAACAGG
rnacentral:rRNA from 1 species